rnacentral:rRNA from 1 species
UACGAAGGGGCGUAGCGUUGUUUCGGUAAGUUAACUUGGGCGGUAAAGACGCGCGUAGGCGGCUUCGUUCAGUCAGGGGUGGAAAUACCCCGGGGCCGUCAACCUCGGAAUUGCCUUUGUAUACUGCGAAGCUUGAGUCCGUGAGAGGAUGGUGGAAUACCCAGUGUAGAGGUGAAAUUCGUAGAUAUUGGGUGGAACACCAGUGGCGAAGGCGGCCAUCUGGCACGGUACUGACGCUGAGGUGCGAAAGCGUGGGGAGCAAACAGGAUUAGAUACCCGCGUAGU